rnacentral:rRNA from 1 species
UGGGGGAUAUUGCACAAUGGGCGAAAGCCUGAUGCAGCGACGCCGCGUGGGGGAUGAAGGCCUUCGGGUUGUAAACUUCUUUUGCUCUGAACAAGGCGCACCAUGGGGUGUGUUGAGUGUAGGGGUUGAUUAGCGCCGGCUAACUACGUGCCAGCAGCCGCGGUAAUACGUAGGGCGCGAGCGUUGUCCGGAAUUAUUGGGCGUAAAGGGCUUGUAGGUGACUGGUUGCGUCUGUCGUGAAAGCUCAUGGCUUAACUGUGGGUUUGCGGUGGGUACGGGCUGGCUUGAGUGCAGUAGGGGAGGCUGGAAUUCCUGGUGUAGCGGUGGAAUGCGCAGAUAUCAGGAGGAAUACCGGUGGCGAAGGCGGGUCUCUGGGCUGUUACUGACACUGAGGAGCGAAAGCAUGGGGAGCGAACAGG